AUACUUGUAUGCUGUUUUGAUUUGUGCAAGGCGCAUUGUGCCAUGGCAUCGGCAACGCAUCAGUCGAAAUGGGGCAGCCCGCAACUCAUUACAGUUAUCGCACAAAACGGCUCUGUUUGCAGAUAGUAACGAGUCAUAUUUAUUAUUUGUCACGUUUGAAACAGGAGCGGCGAUUGUUGCAGGUCACGGGGAAUGCGGCCCUGCCCCGUUACAGAAGAGAAGGAACUGUGGGUCCGCGGCCCGCAUUAUUUCGUGUUCACAAAGGAUAAGGAAAUCAAAGCAUAUAUGUUACUAAGCUACAGUUUCUAUUAAAAAAACGUAAGCAAAAGCCUGGGGAUCGCUGGGAGGAGCUGCCGGAGGACCAUACCGUAAUCGCUGUUGGUAUUCGGGGACACUUGUAAUCAGGUCGUUGAAGAUUAUGGUGUUAGUUGUAAAGCAUAUAUCACUGAAAACAUUAAUAAGCUUAACCAGCUUUUUUACGAAAGCAAUCCAGCAAAGUGCCAUGGACCAUGCUUUACUUCGCUAGAUUUAAAUUAGACAAAAAAAUUGCUUUCCGAAACAAGAGCUUAGGCCGGAGGCAAAAUAAGCCAAAAGAUAAUAAUGUUAAAAAGUCAUGGCAGGAGCUUCGAUCAUAAUCGGUAAGAGCAGUUACCAAAUCCUUUCCCGUAUGUAUGGCUCAUAUGGCUACAGCAAAUGCGAAUGCGUAGCGAGGUUAUUGGGCUGGCACGGGCUGCAACCUGCUUUAUCGUUAUAUGCUUGAAUUGAUAGGCUUGCAACUUUCAGGGUAAUGGCAUAAGCCAGGAGCAAUCGCAAAGUUCCCGCCAAAAAUGUUCACUGCGGCAUGCCAACAAAGCGAUGGCUCUCAUCGCAGAUCAUCGAGCGUGCGUUUUCAUAAAUACAGAACAAAGAUCUGCGGAUCUAUUGCUGCGUCGCAUCCGCGGAAAGGGCUUCAACGAGGUGGGAUCGUAGCGCGACGGUUAGCUACUCGUUUCCAUCUGAACCAGACAUCGGCAAACGGGGUAUUUCUGUUCUAUCUUCCGGUACAAUUUCUGUUACAAGGCCGCGGAAUGAAAGUGCAUUUUUUGCAAUAAUCGGGCCGCGUAACAGGAGGGAUGGCAAGUACGGUUGGAUUGAGUUGGUAGGGUGGUCG
rnacentral:lncRNA from 1 species